rnacentral:sRNA from 1 species
AUACAUCCAAAAUAUUCGAAAACAAUGUCCGAACAUAUAAUUUUCGCCCCGUAAUAUAACAAAGAUCACGAAAAGGCCCGAAAAAGUACAUUAAGGUCAAAAGUUGGAGUAGAAAAAAAAAACAAUAGAAGAAUUCCAUUUUGCUUCCUCAUUCAUUGGAGAGCUCUCUUUGGGCUUUCCGAAAAGGUAUCACAUGCCAAGUGUUUGGCAUCACGGUCUAAAAGUUCUAGAGUCAUACAUUUUUGACAAAAGAAAAAGAGAAAAACCGAAAAAAAGAGGGAUGAAACACGAGGACUUUCCUGGAGGUCACCCAUCCUAGUACUACUCUCGCCCAAGCACGCUUAACUGCGGUU